rnacentral:rRNA from 1 species
GACGAACGCUGGCGGCGUGCUUAACACAUGCAAGUCGAACGGAAAGGCCCUGCUUUUGUGGGGUGCUCGAGUGGCGAACGGGUGAGUAACACGUGAGUAACCUGCCCUUGACUUUGGGAUAACUUCAGGAAACUGGGGCUAAUACCGGAUAGGAGCUCCUGCUGCAUGGUGGGGGUUGGAAAGUUUCGGCGGUUGGGGAUGGACUCGCGGCUUAUCAGCUUGUUGGUGGGGUAGUGGCUUACCAAGGCCUUGACGGGUAGCCGGCCUGAGAGGGUGACCGGCCACAUUGGGACUGAGAUACGGCCCAGACUCCUACGGGAGGCAGCAGUGGGGAAUAUUGCACAAUGGGCGGAAGCCUGAUGCAGCAACGCCGCGUGCGGGAUGACGGCCUUCGGGUUGAAAACCGCUUUCGCCUGUGACGAAGCGUGAGUGACGGUAAUGGGUAAAGAAGCACCGGCUAACUACGUG